rnacentral:lncRNA from 1 species
UGAACUGGAGGCACGCCCGGCCCAUGAACGCCGGGCGGCCCCAGCCGAAGUCGGCGUCGUAGAUGGGCAGCCCCUGCCAGCUUAUCACCCACAGGUCGGUCUCCGGCAUGACCCACUCCCCCUUGCGCAGCCCCGCCGCGUCGCUCACCACCUGCUCCAGGCAGUCCACCAGCGACCGCACGUACUCGUCGUCCAGCCGCGCGGUGGCGCCGGACACCCUGCCCGCGACGGCGUCGAGCGGCUCCGAGACGACGUCCCCCGCCUUGGCCACCGUCGACGCGCGGAAGAUGGCGUUGCCGAGGUAGCCUUCCGGGAGCGGCGGCCGGACGCGGGACCGCGCGUCGGCGGUCAUGUACAGACGCGUGUCCUCGUCUUGCGCCAGCCCGCGCGCCGUGCACGCGCACCGCCACACGUGGGCGACCACGGCCUUGAACGUGGACACCUUCUUGCUGCCUUCGCCGCCGCCGCCCUUGAGCGCGUCCAGCUGGGCCUUAGACAUGGGCAGGAUGGCGGAGUCGAACGGGACCCUCGCCGCCUUUGGAUCGCCGCCGCCGCGCCGGGAGUACUCGCUGUGGUCGAAGCGCACGUCGGGAGGGGAGCGCGCGCGGAGGAGCGUGCGGUCCAGCCACGGGCGCGGCGCGGCCUCGUCGACGCCCUUGCUGGCGAUGGCGGCCCACGUGUUGACGAAGUCGAGCGCCGCGAGGCCGUCCGCCGCCGUGUGGUGGAUCGCCGCGCCCACGCACACCCCGCCGCACUUGAAGGACGUCACCUGAGUAUACGUAGGCAGGCAGAUGCAAACGUGAGGUCAGCUAGCGCCGCCGCAUGACCGUACGAAGCGCUACUACUAGUAGGUAAGGUACGUGCGGUGAUCUGAUCAAAUCAUCACGGCGCACGCGCGUGACCUGGAACAUGGCCAAGAUGCCGGCGCGGUCUUCGCCGUCGUCGGCUGCGGAGGGGACAAGCAUCUGCCGCAGCUCAUCCGACGGGGCGAGCCCGCCGGCGGUGGCGAGGUCCUGGAGGGUAACGUCGGCGCGCGCGGUGACGAAGAGCGCGCCGUCGCCGGUACAGUGGAUCUCCGGGCGACCAGCGCCGUCCUGCGCGAGCCGGCCGGCGAGGGGGUAGAAGGGGACGAGCGCCUUGGACAGGGCGGCCUUGAGGACGUCCGGCGAGAAGAAGCCCGGGACGUCAGGGCUGGCGGGCCGCCGGUACACGUAGAUGGUGGGCGUGUGGCUCCUGGCCACGAGCAGGUCGAGGUUGGAGAGCCAGACCACGUGCAUGGGUGUCGUCGUCGUCCCCGCGUCGUCGCUGGGUUUCACCAUGCAGGACUCGAGGAUCUCCACCGCCAUUGCUGCUGCUGCUGCUGCUAGUGCUAGGAGAGAGGUGGAUCGGUGGCCUCAACACUGCCGCUGCAACUUUUAAUUUGGUCGGAUGGUAUAUUGCAUUGGUAUUAAAGGAUCGAUCGUUCGACAGGGGUUCGUGCUGAGGGACCGGAGCCGGUGAGGGUGAACCCGAUCGAAAUGCAAAAAAGUUGGUUUCACGGGCAAAGGAUCGUUCGACAUUGCUACUGCACGAGCUCCCACAGUAUUAUUAGUUGGUAUGUUAGAAUGAGUCGAACUCGAAGUUCGAUCUCGUCGAGUACCUGCUGCGUGCUAUAUUGUUAUGUUUUGCCGAUCUUCCAUCGUAGGUGUUCAUCCAUGGAGAUCGAUGAUGUUGCAUUCAUGAUUUUUCUGUUGCAGGCUUGCAGGAACAAGUACAAGGCCAGGAGCUCUAGGAUGAGGUGGAAUUAAGGCCUUGUUUAGUUUCCAAAAUUUGCCAAAAUUUUUCAAUAUUUUUCAUCACAUCGAAUCUUUGAACCAUGCAUGGAGUAUUAAAUAUAAAUAAAAAUAUUAAUUAAUUGCACA